GUAAGUUAUUUUCCAUGAAGCCUUCGAAUCGACGAUCCAUACAGUUAAAUAUAAUUUAGAGCACGUAAACAUUCUAGAAAGCACGCAAACAUUCUAGAAACCAAAUUUCAUAAUUUUUUGACAUCAUAAAUUUUACGAUCAAAAGGCCUCAAAAUUGACAAUUUUAAUGGCUGUUAUAGGUCAUUUUCUAGUUAAACAAUGCAGAAGAAUCAGAAUCGAUUGAAUAUUUGAUCGAAAAUUCUAUUCACCACCUAAAUCAAGAUUAGUAACUUUGAUUUUGAAUUGAAGAACCCGACGUUAUAUUUUUAGGAGAUCUGUCGAUUUUAACCAUUCAUUUUAUAUCCGCUUGAUAGAUUAUUAUAAUUUCAAAAAGUUGCGAAAUUCGGUUCCUAGAUAGUUCAAAUGCUCUAGAUCGUCUUUAAUGGUAUGAAUCAUCGAUUUAGAAGCUCCAUUAUCGAAAACAAUCAAUGAGAACGAAGCCCUCCGUACUCAUACAAGUGUGUGUGUCUAUAUAUAUCUAGUAGGGCUAUUGUGCUUUUAUGGGUAUAGAUGCCUUCGUACUUGUAAGUUAUUUUCGAUGAUGGAGUUUCCGAAUCAAUGACCUAUUUCCUUAGAGCAUUUGAAGCAUUUAGAAGUCGAAUUUUGUAAUGUUUCGAACUUAUAAUAAAGUCGAUCAAAUGGGUAUAAAAUGAAUAGUCAAAAUCAAAUGAUCUCCUAAAAAUAGGGGGUAAGGCUUUUAAAUUCAAGAUCGAAGCUGUUGAUCUUGAUCUAUAUAGUGACUAGAAUAUUUCAUUGAAAAUUCAACACAUUCCAAUAUUUCUACACUGUUAACUUGGAAAUGUUUCAUACUGGCAGUUAAAAAUGUCAAUUUUCAGACUUUUGAUUGUAAGGUAUAUGAUGUCAAAGAAUUAUAAAAUUCGGUUUCUAAAAUAUUUAAAUGUUUUAAAUUAUGCUUAAUGGUAUGGAUCAUCGAUUCAGAAGCUUUAUUAUCGAAAACGACUUAUGAGUACGAAGAUGAUCGUACUCAUAAUAGUAUAGUAGCUAGACACACACUCUCUCUCUCUCUCUCUCUCUCUCUCUCUCUCUCUAUAUAUAUAUAUAUAUAUAUAUAUAUACAAUGAUUUUGUUAAGUUCAUAAGAUUUUUAUGGCUUUGUUCUUACUAAAUUGUGUAAGAAAUAAUACAUGAAAUAUUUUUAUAUUCAUUAGAGAUAUUAAAACAUUCUAAAAAAACUAAUUUUUUUAAAAUAAUAAAAAAGUCCGAGCCAAUGUGUGCCAACGUGCCAAUGGCUUGCACUGAGGGUUGCUGACAUUGGAACACCCUAUACCGCUGUGCCAUGCCGUGGCACUGGCAUGACAAUCCAUGUAGUAAAUAGACCUUAGGUUAGCGAACUUAAAUAUUUCUUGGGCUCAACUCUUUGUUAGUUAGAUAUUUUGUGCCUAUGGCAGAAAAAAGCUAGAAGCCUAGAACAACCAUCUAUCCAGGCUUGAUGAGUCAAGAGCAGGAGAACUUUGUGAGCUCCAUCUGUCCUCGAUGCAUCUUAUGUCAUGCCCCCAAACUCGAGACGUAACAGACACCACAUAUCUGCAAUUAUUUAAUCACAAAUAUGUAAGACAACAAAAGAUGUAGAUAUCGAGCAAAAUAUUCUAUCUUGAGAUCAAAUUAAAUACUUUUCAGAUUUGAAACCCACAAAACUAAAUCUAUAAUUGAAAGUUCCACAAAUACUCGACUAAUAAAGUUCACCAAAAAUAAAUUUGCGGCAAUUCUAGACCAAGCAAAUAUACUUUACUAAAAAAUUAAUUUUGAAACUAACUAAACUAUCUAAUUUUAUUAACAAAGGUCCAGAAACAAAAAGGAUCUCAGCAACUAGUGAUCACUCGAUCACAUCCCCCACAAGCUGGUUAGACUCCAUACUUGGGCAAGCAACCAUAUACCAUAUUAGUCGGAUAAAGUAUGCGUAACUAAGUAGUUUCUAAAUAUUCAUAUAUAAUUUUGUUACAAAGAAAUAUAAUAAUGAUUACUGAGUUUAGCAAAAUUUCACAAAUCCCAUUUUAGAAUUUUCUAAGAUUGCACAAAAUUUGAGCAAAACCUUUUAAAAUCAUAUUCGUUCAACGAUUUGUUAUUCAUAUAAACACCAAGAUUAACCCUUAUUUUGAAAAACUAUA
rnacentral:lncRNA from 1 species